rnacentral:rRNA from 1 species
UGGCGAACGGGUGAGUAACACGUAGGUAACCUGCCCAUGUGCCCGGGAUAACUUCUGGAAACGGAUGCUAAAACCGGAUAGGUAGCAGACAAGCAUUUGACUGCUAUUAAAGUGGCUUUGGCCAUGAACAUGGAUGGACCUGCGGUGCAUUAGCUGGUUGGUGAGGUAACGGCCCACCAAGGCGACGAUGCAUAGCCGGCCUGAGAGGGCGGACGGCCACAUUGGGACUGAGACACGGCCCAAACUCCUACGGGAGGCAGCAGUAGGGAAUUUUCGUCAAUGGGGGGAACCCUGAACGAGCAAUGCCGCGUGAGUGAGGAAGGUCUUCGGAUCGUAAAGCUCUGUUGUAAGAGAAAAACGGCACUCAUAGGGAAUGAUGAGUGAGUGAUGGUAUCUUACCAGAAAGUCACGGCUAACUACGUGCCAGCAGCCGCGGUAAUACGUAGGUGGCGAGCGUUAUCCGGAAUGAUUGGGCGUAAAGGGUGCGUAGGUGGCAGAUCAAGUCUGGAGUAAAAGGUAUGGGCUCAACCCGUACUGGCUCUGGAAACUGAUCAGCUAGAGAACAGAAGAGGACGGCGGAACUCCAUGUGUAGCGGUAAAAUGCGUAGAUAUAUGGAAGAACACCGGUGGCGAAGGCGGCCGUCUGGUCUGGAUUCUGACACUGAAGCACGAAAGCGUGGGGAGCAAAUAGGAUUAGAUACCCUAGUAGUCCACGCCGUAAACGAUGAGAACUAGGUGUUGGGGGAAUAACUCAGUGCCGCAGUUAACGCAGUAAGUUCUCCGCCUGGGGAGUAUGCACGCAAGUGUGAAACUCAAAGGAAUUGACGGGGGCCCGCACAAGCGGUGGAGUAUGUGGUUUAAUUCGAAGCAACGCGAAGAACCUUACCAGGCCUUGACAUCCCUUGCAGAGGUAUAGAGAUAUAUCCGAGGUUAUCAAGGAGACAGGUGGUGCAUGGUUGUCGUCAGCUCGUGUCGUG